rnacentral:rRNA from 1 species
UCUUCCGCAAUGGACGAAAGUCUGACGGAGCGACGCCGCGUGGGUGAGGAAGGCGGAAACGUUGUAAAACCCUUUUAUGGAUGAGGAAUAAGUGUGGGAGGUAAUGCCUGCAUGAUGACGUUAGUCCAUGAAUAAGCCCCGGCUAAUUACGUGCCAGCAGCCGCGGUAACACGUAUGGGGCGAGCGUUGUUCGGAAUUAUUGGGCGUAAAGGGCACGCAGGCGGAUGAGCAAGUCUGGUGUGAAAGACCGCAGCUUAACUGCGGGAACGCACUGGAAACUGUUUAUCUAGAGUUCAAGAGGGGAAGCUGGAAUUCCAGGUGUAGGGGUGAAAUCUAUAGAUAUCUGGAAGAACAUCAGUGGCGAAGGCGAGCUUCUGGCUAUGAACUGACGCUGAGGUGCGAAAGCGUGGGGAGCAAACA